rnacentral:rRNA from 1 species
AACGAACGCUGGCGGCAGGCCUAACACAUGCAAGUCGAACGAAGUCUUCGGACUUAGUGGCGGACGGGUGAGUAACACGUGGGAACAUGCCCCUGGGUACGGAACAACAGUUGGAAACGACUGCUAAUACCGUAUGAUGUCUUCGGACCAAAGAUUUAUCGCCCAGGGAUUGGCCCGCGUUGGAUUAGGUAGUUGGUGGGGUAAUGGCCACCAAGCCUGCGAUCCAUAGCUGGUCUUAGAGGAUGAUCAGCCGCACUGGGACUGAGACACGGCCCAGACUCCUACGGGAGGCAGCAGUGGGGAAUCUUAGACAAUGGGGGCAACCCUGAUCUAGCCAUGCCGCGUGAUCGAUGACGGUCUUAGGAUUGUAAAGAUCUUUCGUUGGGGACGAUAAUGACGGUACCCAAAGAAGAAGCUCCGGCUAACUUCG